GACGAACGCUGGCGGCGUGCUUAACACAUGCAAGUCGAACGAAGAGCGAUGGAAGCUUGCUUCUAUCAAUCUUAGUGGCGAACGGGUGAGUAACGCGUAAUCAACCUGCCCUUCAGAGGGGGACAACAGUUGGAAACGACUGCUAAUACCGCAUACGAUCUAAUCUCGGCAUCGAGGAUAGAUGAAAGGUGGCCUCUACAUGUAAGCUAUCACUGAAGGAGGGGAUUGCGUCUGAUUAGCUAGUUGGAGGGGUAACGGCCCACCAAGGCGAUGAUCAGUAGCCGGUCUGAGAGGAUGAACGGGCACAUUGGGACUGAGACACGGCCCAGACUCCUACGGGAGGCAGCAGUGGGGAAUCUUCCGCAAUGGACGAAAGUCUGACGGAGCAACGCCGCGUGAGUGAUGACGGCCUUCGGGUUGUAAAGCUCUGUUAAUCGGGACGAAAGGCCUUCUUGCGAAUAGGGAGAAGGAUUGACGGUACCGGAAUAGAAAGCCACGGCUAGCUACGUG
rnacentral:rRNA from 1 species